UUUGUUUCUUUUGCAGAUAAGUGCGAGAAGGCACUAUAAACUUCAAGAUUCGGACUAAGUGGCUAAGAGAACAAAGAAGAGGAGGAAAAAUGGACUUGUGCGAGAAGAAACGAAGUAACCAGGGGGCUAACUAUUGAAGAGAGGAUCAUCUUGUGCUAAAAGUAAAGAAGGAGGGGGGCCGAAUUAAAAAAAGGUGACAGAUCGGAGGAGGGGAUAAAAUCCCUAGCCGCCUCCUUCGUUCCCCUUUGAGCCUAGCACACAUCUCUCUCCCUCAUCCCUCCUUCUCCACAUCCGGCCGCCGCCGCGGCCAGGCCGGCGUGGCGGCGCGCCAUCCAUCACCAGCACCACCGCACCCCAGCGCGCCACCAACACCUCCACCAUCGCCCUGCGCCUCCAUCCAUCACCUGCGCCAUCCAUCCACCGCCAUCCACAGCGCCGCCUCAUCACCUCACGCCGCCGCCCAUCCAUCUCCUUGCUGCUCCUCUCUCUCACACAACUCCUGCUGCUGUGCUUCUUCCUCUUUUCCUAACCUUGCUGCUGCUCAGAACCUUAACUUGUUGCUGCCACUUCUUCUCUGAACCCAACACUGCUAGUUGCUGCUCCUAAUCUUCUCUGAACCCCAGCCUGCUGCUCUUGCUUCCUCCCUUACCUCUGCUGCUGCUCCUUCCUAUGCGCCCCUGCUGCUCUUCUUGCGCCCAAGCUACUGCUCCUUCUUCUCUUCCUCUGCUGUUGCUCUCUCAACCCUCCACGCUGCAGCUGCUGCUCUGAACUCCAACCUCCUGCUGUCUCUCUUCUCUGAACUUCUCCUUUCUUUACUGCUGCGUGUGUGUGUAAUUUUGCGAACUAUUAGUGUUGAGACUUGAUCAACUAGAUUUUGUACUAGUGCAAUAUUUGUGCCCUGUCCGUUAGUUAGUGAUUUGUAAAACUUCAGAUUGCUUCUUGUGAAUUAUGUGUUGAACUUUAAGGAUGGUUGAUAGCUCCAGUGCAUGUGAUUUUUAUAUUGUCUCAGUUUCUUGUGAUAAAUGUACUUGUGAAUUGUGAUGUGAAGCAUUUCUAGUCUGUAGUAUAAUAUUGUUUCUUCCAUCUUCUUACAUGUUAGAUGGUUAUAUGUGUACAUGUCUUGCAUCUUCUCGGUGUGUAUUUUAAUUCCUCAAGUAUAAUAAAAAUACCAAAAAGACAGUGAAGAAAAUCUGAACCUUCCUUUGCCUUUUUUUGCAUUUUCUUUGGUGACGAUCUUUGGGUACAACCUUGUUAGUUUAGUUUUUAUUUUCUGCAUUCUUCUCUUAAAAUUGUGUUACCUAGCUUUAGCCGAGCAUAGUCGUCGUCGCCUAGUCCCUGUGGAGAAUACGACAUCCGUAGUUUGGGGCGUAAAAAAACCCCGCUAUACUUUCUUUUGAUCAUUUUGGCGCCGUUGCCGGGGACUAGCGUCGUGUGACUGUGUUAGGCUAUAGACUAGGUUUUUCUUCUUUUUCUAGUUUGUGCCAUAUAUUUGUGAUAUAUCUCUAACUCCUAACCCUUGUUCUAGUUUAUUUUCUCUUUGUUUUCUUUUCCUUUUUGCAGGUUAGAACUAUCUUCUCGGUUAUGGCUUACUAUUCAGAUCAUCAGGCUUAUGCGAGCAACACUACAAACAGCACGGAAAGUAUUCAAGAACUGAUAAUUAAGAUUUCCCAUCAAUUAGAUGAUUUAGCUCGGCAGCGAGAGGUAGUUUUUGAGGAUAGGCCUAGCUCUUAUGAUCCUUACUCUAGAGGUCAUCCUUAUGUUGCUCCUACAUGCCAUAUUUGUGGAUUUCAGGGCCAUUCACCCGCUGAAUGUCAGCGUGGUUACUCUCACCCUCCCGAUUGUUAUGGCAUGAGCUUCGCCCCACAGCCUAGCUCAUACCAAAACAAUUACACACAUGGGUGGCCUGAAAACUAGAAUAUGUCAUAUAGGAGCAAUAACCCUGAGAUCUCAUCGUUUGCCUCUAGUUAUCCAAUGCAGGGAGUUAGGUAUGAAGAGGAGAGCCACAACUAUGCUCCGCAACAGUUUCAUUCACCUCCUACUCAUAUACCGCAGCACCAGGAGAUGUGUCCAAUGGAGUUAAAUGGUCCUCCAUUUGGGCAACCGACAACUCCAGAACCUGAUUAGUCAUUAGUGCAAUCUCAUGUGCAAGUGACCACACAAGAUGAGUUCGAUGACAUAGACAAGCUCACACUUUUGAGUCUCGAGUUCACUUGGAGUGCCGAGGAUGAUCCUAUUAGGAAGGUUAUACUAGAGGAAAUGAAGAAGAUCAAGAGUGGGAAUGAGCUAGUGGAAGAAGUAAAGAAGAUUGAGAAGAACAUAAACGCUGGCAGUACUAUUUCUUCACAGCUUGAGUUGAGUAAUUCUGGAAUUCUCCUUGAUACACGUGAGGUUCCAAUACCGUCACAUCCAGCUGAGCAAGAUAGCAAGUGCCUUGAGCAAGAGAUACCUCAGAUUGAAGAAGAUGAACUAGAAGACAAGGAACAAGAUGAUCAAGAGCUGCAAUUCCCAAGUGAUCAAGUUGAAGACUCGUCAUCUACUACUCCUGAAGAAGUAAAAGAAGCUGUUGUAGAUGAAGAUGAAGAACAUGAGAUUCAUUUGCCUAUUGUCAUACCAGAGCGUGAUGUGUCAGGUUUACCCAAUCCUCUCGAUGAGUUGCGUCCUUAUGAUUCCUUUGCUUCUACCUUGCAUUGCAUGAUGCCAUCUGUUAAAGUAGAUUUGAAAAAGUAUUUGCUUGGAUAUGAUUAUAUAUACCCUGUUAGUGGCAUUACACACAUUAAUGAUGAUCACAGUUACUUUCCUCGUGCUAGACCUAUGCUUAAUGAAACAUAUCAUUCUUAUGCUAGUCUUGAGCUUAAUGAAAAAUAUCAUCCUCAUGUUAGUGUUGACUUUGCUGAUUUCUACCAUCCUAAACAUGUGCUUUAUAGCUAUGCUUAUGUAAUUGGAUAUUCGAUUGAUGACUUGGAGGGUAUUAUCCCUACCACUUGCAUUGUCUCUUUCAUUGAGUGCUCUUUCAGGUUGUUGCUUGUGCACGAUCCACUACAUGCUGAUCAAGUUCGAGAUGACAUUCCCUGGGACCCCGGUGGACCCAUGGCAUGGGGAUGAGGAGAAGCAAGGGGCACAUACGAAGAAGAGAGAAGCUGGAGCAGGCAUGAGGAUAGGGAAGCAAUAGGAGAGGAGUCACAAUGCACGAGGAAGCAAAGGAGAGGAGCUGCAGUUGGUGAGGUGAUCGAGCGAGUGCUACAUGAUCAAAGCCCGGUGAGAUGUUUCAUGACCCAUUCUGAAUGUCAUAAAUACAUGCUAAAUUCAAUUGCUAGUUGGGUUGCUUGAGCUAGUUAUUACUUGUUGUCAAGCUGAAAUUCACCUUUGGCAUUGUGCUUGAUGUGAAUUUGUGAACUUGAUUUCUGAAUGCCUUGUAAACUAGUGAUCUACACCAUGCAUGCUUUGCUGAAAUUUGUGGAAGUUAUUAGUUUUGAGUGCUCAAAUCCCUAGUACACUAGAAAACUUGAUCAUUUUCUGCUUUUACCUUGAUACACCUAGAUCACCAUGUUUAGAUGCUGAAUUUGUGCUAAGUGUGUUCACAUUGAGAGCAAUCACCUAACCACUAUGGAUUAGCAUGCUAUGUUCCCUGGAUCGGUAGCAUGUGAACCAGACAUGGAGAAGUGAUGAUUCCUGUUUUUGUGCUUAUGCGUUGUUCAUUUAAGAUAAGUAAUAUUGAAUAAAUAAGUCUGGUCUACCUACAGUAGCAUGUCAUGUUCCUUGGAUCGGUGGCAUGUGAAAUCUGGUAGCUUGGACAGUAAUAAAUAAAUAAAAAUGUAAUUGUCAAACCAGGUGUAUACCAUGUUCUCGGGAUCGGUGGUAUGUUCCUUUGGGGAGACAAACAAAAAAAUACUAAUAAUUGGUCGAGCCAGGUGUAUACCAUAUUCUCGGGAUCGGUGGUAUGUUCCUAUGGUGAGACUAAUAAUAAUAUAAUCAUUGCUUUAUCUCUGUAAAUAAGUGAUUUGAUCACAAGAUUUAAUUCCAGAUCAUUUUGUUCUUGGGAUCAUGCUCUCUUUAGGAACCAUUUGGCACAGUCAUCAUUUAAACUUGUUGAUCCUCUUUUAUCAUUGUAAAAGUUUAAAAUGGUCAUGCUUACUAGUAUUCGAUUGCUCUGUAGCACUCUUAACCAUUGAUUUUCACUAGUUAAGUCCAAAGCAUGCUUUGUUUGGAGAUCUACUUCACUGGGACAUUCUCCAGUCAGCUCACUGUUCAUUAUCUAGCUCUUGUCAUAUUCCUUUGCUUGAGGACAAGCAAAAGUUUAAGUGUGGGGGAACUUGAUAAGCACAUUUCAUACACAUCUUUUGUCACUCAAAUAUGCGGUUUAUUGAGAUAUGACCAUCAAUUCUUGCUGUAAAAUAUUGAAUAUUUGCAUGAAAAUCAUAUAAAGAGUCAUUUACUAGUCUUUUUUUUUUGCAGAUAAGUGCGAGAAGGCACUAUAAACUUCAAGAUCCGGACUAAGUGGCUAAGAGAACGAAGAAGAGGAGGAAGAAUGGGCUUGUGCGAGAAGAAAGGAAGUAACCAGGGGGCUAACUAUUGAAGAGAGGAUCAUCUUGUGCUAAAAGUAAAGAAGGAGGGGGGCCGAAUUAAAAAAGGUGACAGAUCGGAAGAGGGGAUAAAAUCCCUAGCCGCCUCCUUCGUUCCCCUUUGAGCCUAGCACACAUCUCUCUCCCUCAUCCCUCCUUCUCCACAUCCGGCCGCCACCGCGGCCAGGCCGGCGUGGCGGCGUGCCAUCCAUCACCAGCACCACCGCACCCCAGCGCGCCACCAACACCUCCACCAUCGCCCUGCGCCUCCAUCCAUCACCUGCGCCAUCCAUCCACCGCCAUCCACAGCGCCGCCUCAUCACCUCGCGCCGCCGCCCAUCCAUCUCCUUGCUGCUCCUCUCUCUCGCAACUCCUGCUGCUGUGCUUCUUCCUCUUUUCCUAACCUUGCUGCUGCUCAGAACCUUAACUUGUUGCUGCCACUUCUUCUUUGAACCCAACACUGCUAGUUGCUGCUCCUAAUCUUCUCUGAACCCCAGCCUGCUGCUCUUGCUUCCUCCCUUACCUCUGCUGCUGCUCCUUCCUAUGCGCCCCUGCUGCUCUUCUUGCGCCCAAGCUACUGCUCCUUCUUCUCUUCCUCUGCUGUUGCUCUCUCAACCCUCCACGCUGCAGCUGCUGCUCUGAACUCCAACCUCCUGCUGUCUCUCUUCUCUGAACUUCUCCUUUCUUUACUGCUGCGUGUGUGUGUAAUUUUGCGAACUAUUAGUGUUGAGACUUGAUCAACUAGAUUUUGUACUAGUGCAAUAUUUGUGCCCUGUCCGUUAGUUAGUGAUUUGUAAAACUUCAGAUUGCUUCUUGUGAAUUAUGUGUUGAACUUUAAGGAUGGUUGAUAGCUCCAGUGCAUGUGAUUUUUAUAUUGUCUCAGUUUCUUGUGAUAAAUGUACUUGUGAAUUGUGAUGUGAAGCAUUUCUAGUCUGUAGUAUAAUAUUGUUUCUUCCAUCUUCUUACAUGUUAGAUGGUUAUAUGUGUACAUGUCUUGCAUCUUCUCGGUGUGUAUUUUAAUUCCUCAAGUAUAAUAAAAAUACCAAAAAGACAGUGAAGAAAAUCUGAACCUUCCUUUGCCUUUUUUUGCAUUUUCUUUGGUGACGGUCUUUGGGUACAACCUUGUUAGUUUAGUUUUUAUUUUCUGCAUUCUUCUCUUAAAAUUGUGUUACCUAGCUUUAGCCGAGCAUAGUCGUCGUCGCCUAGUCCCUGUGGAGAAUACGACGUCCAUAGUUUGGGGCGUAAAAAAACCCCGCUAUACUUUCUUUUGAUCAUACAUGUUUAUAUGCCGGGAGUGGUUUAUGUCUUGAUGAAUAUAAUCGUUUAUGCUAACUUGGUAUUGGUAGUUCCUGAGGUAACACAACAGUAUUUGUUUAGUGCAGACAAUUGACUAUUCUUUUUUCUGAACUUUUUUGUGAUAUGUGUGUUAUGUGGAUAUCAUAUUCUAAUGCUUUUCUAAGUAUUUAAGGUACAUCCUUGUGGAUCUAGACAUGUCACAUUUGCUCUUUUUUGGGUUGCUAAGGACACUGAACAUUUUGGCUGGGCCACUGCACGGCCUGGAUAAUCAAGUACACUUGAUUUUAUGUGUAGUUGAUGUUCUCUGCCACAUCAUGCUCAAUUUGUGCUUGCCAAAUGGAUCUCUUGGAACAAAUUGUUCGUAAUAAAUGAACAAAUUGCAGAACUUGUGGCUAUGCUAUUUACCCACUUGCUUUUGCACAUGAUGUUGAGAAGAAGAAAAACAUACGCCCUGUUAUUUUAAAAUGCUGUAUUUACUGUUUUGAUGCGCAUAAACUGAGAAUAGUCACCAUAUACUCAUUUAAAGUGUGCUCAUUUUAAUUUUAUAAAAUACCUAGUAUUGAAAGAUUAUGUAGAUCGAAGCUGGUUAAUUAAUACCUGUUCAGAAAAGUGUACAAAGAAUGACUGCAUCAUGCUUGUCAUCUUGUGAAAGAAAU
rnacentral:lncRNA from 1 species